AAUCUUAUAUUCAAAUAAAUGAUAUUAAAUUGCAAAUUUAAAGUUAUUAAUUUUUAAUUAAUUAAGGUUU
rnacentral:tRNA from 1 species